GUCGAUAAUUAUUCCUUACGUUGGUAUGGGCAUUUACUAUUCUCAGAAGCUUUCACAUAUAUGGAACUCUUGAAUACAAAUGCCACAAAGAACCACGGGACUCUCCUGCACACAGAGCUAGUUAGAAGUGGAGCUACAAGAAGAACCCAGGACUCCUCGAUCUCAAACAAGAGCUAGCUCCUCUACACAGGACCUCACUUAACCCUCCUGCGACACUGGGAGGAGGCAAGCAUUGUUCCCAUUUUCCAGGCAGCAGGUGGUAACAUGUUACCAGUACUGAUCAAAUUUAGUCUGGAUGUGACCAACCCUACAAUCUCCAAGUCAGAGCUGCUUUUACUGGAACAAUUUUUCUCAAGGAGUGAUUCCACCACCAUCCUUCUCCAAAAAAGGCUCUGAAAACGUCUAAACUGACCAAGGAUACCUGCAUAAUCGAGAAAGCCAGCUUCCCCCAGCAAGUGCUCUCAGAACCAGCACUCCAGGGACAAGGACUGAGCCUGGAGAUUGUGGUCUGCAGCUCUUAGUAACACAUGGCAGAGGUUUCUGUUCACAUGAGGCUAACGAGGUCCAAAGAAGGGAAGUGGCAUACCCACCGUGACACAGUUGGUCGGAUCCAGUGCCCACUCCUCGGCCAGAGAUCUUUCAGAAAAAUCUAACAGGGUCCUCAGUCUCCUACCAGCUAGAUUUUUUUUAAAUGACUGUUCUUAUGUUGCCCAAGCUGGUCUCAAACGCCUUGGCUCAAGCAAUCCUCCUAUCUCAGCCUGCUGAGUAGAUGGGACUACAGGCACACAACCCUGCGCCUGUCAGCCAGAUUUUUAAGUCACCAUAUUUCGUGGACCAGAAAAGUCAUCUGUCCUGGAGUGUUGUACAUGUCUCUGCUAUUCACUUGUUAACCUGUGAAUGAGUAAUCGCCAUGUGUUGCCAUUGCCACGCAUCACAUAAAAAGUCUCUUUUUGCUGAUGCCCAGGCUUACCAAUCCAGCACUAGAAGUGAUGUGCCCUCCUUGGCUUGCUAAUGCAUCUGCUUAUGGAGCCAGCCAGCCAGCUUCAUCCUGGAUUACGGUCCCAAUGUCUUUAUUGAGGUCUGGCCCCUAAGCGCAAGAAAGCCAGGCUUGGCAUCUGCCAUUUGAACCUGUUUGUGUUUCUUGGGACCUUAGAUUCACAGGACAUUCAAGCUGAUAGAGAGCCCAUGUGGUAUCUGGCUCAACCCCACCAAUUAUAGAGCAGCAAGAUGACUUGCCCAAAAGUGGCACAACUAGUUAAAAGCUGUGAUGCCAGUGCCUCUGCUCACUUCCUAUAGGAAAGUACUAGUGUUGAUUAUGGUCAUGUACUAGUAUAGAUCACUAGUACCAAUGGAUACUGGGAGAGUGUCACUGCUGGGACCACAGUAUGAGGAGAGAGGAGUGGCAGGAAAGAGCAUCAUCCAUGCAGCCGGAUGCUUGUGCACUGCACACCUGGUCAGGGAGGCUGCAAGAGCUCUGCUUCCUUGCAUUUGCCCAGAGAAACACUUUCCACUGUACAACUCAUUUACAUCUCAUUUGACCUUUAGGAAGGACACAGAACAAUAAUUCUCAGCUCCACUUCCCAAUAAGGUUGUACAGGCUCAAAGAUAAAUAAUUGAUAUCAAAUAACAAUAUGAUUUAAGUUUAAUAUAAAUAAUAAAUGAUAAUAAUAUAGUAUCAAAUAAUUGACUAUGUUCACACAGCAAGUAAGUUAUGGAGACUGAGGUCCCAUAUCUCUAGGGGUGCGCUUCCUACACAAUAAUAGCCUUGAUAAUAAAUGACACUUAUUUAGCAUUUACCAGGUGCCUCUCACUGUCAUUCUAAGCUACACAAACAUAUAUAUAUGUAUAUAUGUAUGUAUACGUAACUUCUCAUUCAUUCUUCGUAACAGCCUUUUUAACGUAGGUACCCAUUUCAUAGACAAGAAUAUCAAGAGGUUAAAACAAAGUUCAAACCAAAACCAUAUUCAAAUAGCAAUACUUUGUUCAGGGAUUUCAGCUCGUGGAAUCUGCCCAAGACUCAAUGCUCUUGAAUCACCAGUUGUAGGCAGAACUUUCCUUCCCUCAUUGCCUUCCACCCAACCAAACACACACACUGUCUCUUCAUUCCAAAAAGGAGCUAAACUAAAGCCCAGAAGUUCCAUGAACUUUUUGUUCCUGGGUUGCCCAGGAUCUCUCAUUUUAAGCUUAAUAAUAGCAAGAGGAAACCUCUGGGUGCGGCGGC
rnacentral:lncRNA from 1 species